rnacentral:rRNA from 1 species
GAUGAACGCUGGCGGCGUGCCUAAUACAUGCAAGUCGAGCGAACGGACGAGAAGCUUGCUUCUCUGAUGUUAGCGGCGGACGGGUGAGUAACACGUGGAUAACCUACCUAUAAGACUGGGAUAACUUCGGGAAACCGGAGCUAAUACCGGAUGAUAUUUUGAACCGCAUGGUUCAAAAGUGAAAGACGGUCUUGCUGUCACUUAUAGAUGGAUCCGCGCUGCAUUAGCUAGUUGGUAAGGUAACGGCUUACCAAGGCAACGAUGCAUAGCCGACCUGAGAGGGUGAUUCGCCCACACUGAACUGGGAAACGGUCCAGAACCCUAAGGGAAGCAGGCGGAGGGAAACUUUCGCCAUGGGCCAAAGGCUGACGGAGGAACGGCGGGGGAGGGAUGAAGGUCUUCGGAUCGUAAAACCCUGGUAUUAGGGAAGAACAUAUGUGUAAGUAACUGUGCACAUCUUGACGGUACCUAAUCAGAAAGCCACGGCUAACUACGUG